rnacentral:rRNA from 1 species
GCGUAACCAAAAAUCUGGUUACAUCCUCGACCUAAGUAUCCGCACGAUAACUCCUAACACGAUCGCUGUACACUCUGGGGACUUGGCGGUGCCCCAAACCCACCUAAAGGAGCCUGUUCUAUAAUCGAUAACCCACGAUACACCCAACCACUCCUUGCCAAAGCAGCCUACAUACCGCCGUCGCCAGUUCACCUCCCUUGAGAGAACAGCAGUGAACAUAACAGUCUCCACCCACUAACAAGACAGGUCAAGGUAUAGCCUAUGGAAGUGGAAGAAAUGGGCUACAUUUUCUAAUAAUAGAAAACUUCACGAAAAGAGGUGUGAAAUCACCUUAGAAGGCGGAUUUAGCAGUAAAGCAGGACAAUCGAGCCUCCUUUAAACUGGCCCUGGGACACGUACAUACCGCCCGUCACCCUCCUCAG